UAGGGAAUCUUCCACAAUGGGCGAAAGCCUGAUGGAGCAACGCCGCGUGAGUGAAGAAGGUUUUCGGAUCGUAAAACUCUGUUGUAAGGGAAGAACAAGUGCAGUAGUAACUGGCUGCACCUUGACGGUACCUUAUUAGAAAGCCACGGCUAACUACGUGCCAGCAGCCGCGGUAAUACGUAGGUGGCAAGCGUUGUCCGGAAUUAUUGGGCGCAAAGCGCGCGCAGGCGGUUUCUUAAGUCUGAUGUGAAAGCCCCCGGCUUAACCGGGGAGGGUCAUUGGAAACUGGGAGACUUGAGUGCAGAAGAGGAAAGUGGAAUUCCAAGUGUAGCGGUGAAAUGCGUAGAGAUUUGGAGGAACACCAGUGGCGAAGGCGACUUUCUGGUCUGUAACUGACGCUGAGGCGCGAAAGCGUGGGGAGCAAACAGG
rnacentral:rRNA from 1 species